AGCCAAUCAGUUAGCCGACCUACCCUCGAAAACGCUCCACAAACCCAUAACUAAACCAUUCGCCAUAGGAAGUAUUAGAGAAAGAAACCUGCCCCCGCGCAAUAGCCAACAGUACUAUACAGGAACACUGAAAGAACAUUAACCGCCUCAAGCACAAAAAAGCAGGGCCAAAAUCCCGUACCUCUUGCAUUAUGGUUUAACCAGCCUAGUCCAGAUAAAGUGCACUAAAACCUGCCCCCCCGAACCCAGACGAUCUACCCCAGAGCAAUCAUAAUGGAUGCACCCCCUCCUGUAGCAAAAGGACGGGAAGACUUUGGGGUAGCGGUGAAACGCCAAUCGCGCCUGGUGAUAGCUGGUUGCUCACGAAACGAAUCUAAGUUCGCCCUUAGUCGACCCCCUCCCGAAACCCUCCCGCAAAUGUCUUUGACUAAGAGUUAUACAAACAGGGCCCAGCCUGUCUGUAACCGGAUACAGCCCCCCUUGGAGGACCAGUACUAACCCCUAGCCCCCGUAGACCUUUAAGCAGCCACCCAAAAAAAUCGCGUCACAGCGCCCAAUUAAAAACAACUUACACUUCUACGCCCCCCAAUAAAAACCUGAGCUACCCUAGCCACCUCUAGAGGAACCCCUGUUAAAACUAGUAAUUCGAACCACUUCUCUCCCGCACACCCUUACACCGACAUGGACCACUCCACCGGUAAUUACCAACCCCAAACCACAACAACCCUGUCACCCCGACACAGGCGUGCCCUAGAGAACCGACAAAAAGUCGCAGAAGGAACUCGGCUAACUCUGCCCCACCUGUUUACCAAAAACAUGGCCUUUAGCCCUACAAGUAUUAAAGGUCCCGCCUGCCCAGUGAUCCACUUUAAACGGCCGCGGUAUUCUAACCGUGCAAAGGUAGCGUAAUCACUUGCCCCCCAAAUAGGGGCUCGUAUGAACGGCUAAAUGAGGGCCUAACUGUCUCCUGCAACAAGUCAAUGAAACUGCUCUUCCAGUACAAAAGCUGGGAUGAAAACACAAGACGAGAAGACCCUGUGGAGCUUUAACUAGACCACCAAGCCUUACGCCCAUGGUGCCACCUUUAAGUUGGGGCAACUACGGAGAACUACCAAACCUCCAUGAAAUCGGACCCAAAGCCCGUCUCCUACAGGCCUACACGCCAAAGACAAGCCCACCAUAGACCCAGCAUAGCUGAUCAGCGAACCAAGUUACCCCAGGGAUAACAGCGCCAUCCCCCUCAAGAGUCCCUAUCGCCAGGGGGGUUUACGACCUCGAUGUUGGAUCAGGACACCCCGGCGGUGUAGCCGCUGCCAACGGUUCGUUUGUUCAACGACUAACGUCCUACGUGAUCUGAGUUCAGACCGGAGCAAUCCAGGUCGGUUUCUAUCUGUGAAUAUCUUUUUCAGUACGAAAGGACCAAAAAGACAGCACCUCUGCCGCCCGUACGUGCUGCCGCACUUACGCUGAGAAGGACUUAAGCCAUCUUCCCCCCCCCCCGCCCACGAUCAGGGCAUUUUUA
rnacentral:rRNA from 1 species